GUGCGUGUAUCAGUUGUACCGCGGUCCGUUAUGUAUACGCGUAUGUGUGUGUGUGUGUGUGUGUGCGCGCGCGCGUGUGAGUGUCUGUUCUGUGUUCGUGUGUCUGUUGAGUUGUAUACACUCGAGAUGGUGUUGCCGUUGUAUGCGUAUAUGUGUGGUGUAUGCGUGCGUGUGUAUGGGUAAGUGUGUCCGCUACUGUUUAGUGCGUGUGUGUAAAUGAGAGUAAGCGUCAAGUUGUGGUGUUUCUUUUCGUUGUUCGUUUGAACAAAUCGAAUUUGUUAGUCUUAUAAUGAGGCGAGCGAACGGUUGGUAAAAACUGUGUUGGACAUAAUUUUAUCUACCGUGUGUGUAUAUAUAUAUAUAUAUAAAUAUAUACACACACAGAUAUAUAUAUAUAUAUAUAUAUAUAUAUUUAUACACAUAUAUAUAUAUACAUAUAUAUAUACAUAUACCUACAUACAUAUAUAUUGUUGUUGUAUAUUCUUGCACCUCUUCCUUCUUCAAACAUUGGAUCUCCACAGGAUAUCUAUCUGUUAAGCUGUUCCUUGCUGGUUCGAAUCUAACAAUAACAGCUAAAUUAAUGUAAAUAUUACUACAUCCGAGAUAUCAUCACAUCCAGUCUCAGUUUUAACGAUCCGAUAAAUAUUUGGGAAUUUAACUAACUGUCUUACUGAAAAAUCACUGAAAAUUUAUCUUGUUUCUCUCCAGUUGAGUGGAAGUUAACAAUUUGCAUGUCCUUGUUAUUGAAUUACAAUUGGUGAAUCCGAACGAACAUAAAAGAGAAUGCAAAGAAUAGGAGGAAGAAUGAAUUAAGGAAAUGAUAAAGUGAAUCAAUGAGAUAGAAGAAAGCUGCUGAUUUGGCAGAUACAGCGAAGCGACGAAGUAAAUACCUUCACCAUUUUACUUUUGGAAUUAUAAACUCCGAAUGUAAAUCCCAUUAGAAUCGAUAACAAUCAGUAAUAGACUGCUCGAUCAAUGCAAUCGAAUGCACUUCUCCCAAUAAAAACUGGUUUUAUGCCAAUGAUAAAAAUAAUUUCAUAUAAAAUAUGAAUAACUGAAACUUUAGAUUAUAAAGGUAAAGAAGAGAGUGAAAACGCGGGCUUCAUUUGAGCCUACUAAUUCAGCUGGCUUUUAUUGCUGCUUGGAAUCAACUUUCUUAGGCUAAGGUCAUAAGGUCACCCAUCUCAUUGUAAGAUGUAUAACAGCCAUAACUUAGCUUAGCAGCCUCAGUUCCCAACUGUGAUCCAUUGAAAAUUGGUGUUUGACACUUUAUCUAUGGAGAAACAGCAACGUCAGUAAAUUAAAAGAGCUCUAAUGAAAAAUCGAAAUGGGAUUCCAUCUUGGUUUUUCGGAAGCUUAUAUUCAAUUUUACCAGAUAGAGCCUUUAUUUGUCAGCAUAAAGUAUAUUUCUGUACCUGUAUGCACAGACCUAGGCAAGUGUAUGUUUUAAUUGUUUUUUAAACAUGCAACUCUCCUCACGUCGUGCUGCAGACCUUGUUCAUGAGAAAUAAUUCAGUUUUAUGACUGGUACAAGAGCUGCCGUCUGGUUUAGUACUGCUUUAUCGAACCGAAAAAUGAAAUUAAAAUUAACUCGGAUGGGAUAUGAAGCGAAUACGAACUGAAUCCAAACAAAUACGAUGAUACAGUCUAUCCAUCACUCUACGAUUCUGCCCAGUCAUCACCUUCAAUUCUGUCAUACUCAACAGAGAUCUCGACAGAGAUCUCCACUAUAUAUAUCCGACUGAAAUAUAUCCGAGUUCCACUAUCUGCAUUAAUUACUGAGUAAUCUCCAUAUCUUGCGCAUCCCCGCAGCAAUCCUUUAUGUAACUUAUUUUGUCAUGGGAAUUAAUGCAGAUGCCAAGCUCAGAUUUUACUCUUCAGAUCACUUUUGCCUAUUUUACAUAUUCACCAUUAUUCAUGGCUGACGUUAUCAGUUUUGCCAUCUUCGGAUGAUUUAUUUACUAUAGACACCAAUAUCGAUAUUCGAAGCGGAAAUGUAAUGUUUACUGACUGGAUUUUGUACUGAACGAGAUAACAAAUUCACAAAUACACAGGUGCACACAGAAACACAGACGCAUGCACAACCUUACUUAUACUCAUCUCCCUCUUCCAUAUUCACAAUCUAUUUUUGUCUUGUUACACAUGCAAUAAUAUUGUGCGUCCAUUAGAUUUGGUCUUCAGAUUUGACAUUUCAUUUCAUCCUUCCUUGUAAACUAUACAGAUUACUUCACAAAUUUCUCCCGUCACUUGCAGCGCGUAUUUCACAACAGAACUCCUAAUCUGGGUCUUAACAUGUCUACUGGAAGAUCUUGGCAGCGAGACUGUAUAUAUUCUUCUAAUAACCACUGUGUUCUAC
rnacentral:lncRNA from 1 species